rnacentral:rRNA from 1 species
GUUGAACGCUGGCGGCAUGCCUUACACAUGCAAGUCGAACGGCAGCACGGGAGCAAUCCUGGUGGCGAGUGGCGAACGGGUGAGUAAAGUAUCGGAACGUGCCCAGUCGUGGGGGAUAACGUAGCGAAAGUUACGCUAAUACCGCAUACGAUCUAUGGAUGAAAGGGGGGGAUCGCAAGACCUCGCGCGAUUGGAGCGGCCGAUAUAAGAUUAGGGAGUUGGUGGGGUAAAGGCGCACCAAGCCGACGAUCUGUAGCUGGUCUGAUAGGACGACCAGCCAAACUGGGACUGAGACACGGCCCAGAAUCCUACGGGAGGCAGCAGUGGGGAAUUUUGGACAAUGGGCGAAAGCCUGAUCCAGCCAUGCCGCGUGCAGGAUGAAGGCCUUCGGGUUGUAAACUGCUUUUGUACGGAACGAAAAGGUUUGGCCUAAUAAGCUGAGCUCAUGACGGUACCGUAAGAAUAAGCACCGGCUAACUACGUGCCAGCCGCCGCCGUAACAC